AUGCCAUUUCCAAUUUUUUCAUUACUAAAUAGAACCUGGAGAAGCGCCUCAACGGAAAAUUGCGUAAUUUUGCUGGUGCUUACAGUCGACCUAAACUCCACCUAUAUGAAGCAAGAGAAGGGAAUUAAUUCAAAAAGUCAAGAACAGGAAAGCCAAACAUACACCAAAACAUUAAGGAAACAGCAAACCUUCGAGUUGCAUAGUCGUCCAAUCUCUUGCAAUACCGUGACAAACAAAGAAGGGACAAUUGCCAUUGAGCCCCCAUUGGGUUGCACAUUUGAACUACCUACAGUUCCCCGGAUUGGCACUCGUGCAUCAUCUACACCAAAAGGUUGGCAUAGAUUCCAUUUCAGAAUGUAUGCAGUGAAAUAA
rnacentral:rRNA from 1 species